CCUACGGGAGGCAGCAGUGAGGAAUAUUGGUCAAUGGACGAGAGUCUGAACCAGCCAAGUAGCGUGAAGGAUGACUGCCCUAUGGGUUGUAAACUUCUUUUAUAUGGGAAUAAAACGUUCCACGUGUGGGAUUUUGUAUGUACCAUAUGAAUAAGGAUCGGCUAACUCCGUGCCAGCAGCCGCGGUAAUACGGAGGAUCCGAGCGUUAUCCGGAUUUAUUGGGUUUAAAGGGAGCGUAGGUGGAUUGUCAAGUCAGUUGUGAAAGUUUGCGGCUCAACCGUAAAAUUGCAGUUGAAACUGGCAGUCUUGAGUACAGUAGAGGUGGGCGGAAUUCGUGGUGUAGCGGUGAAAUGCUUAGAUAUCACGAAGAACUCCGAUUGCGAAGGCAGUUCACUGGACUGCAACUGACACUGAGGCUCGAAAGUGUGGGUAUCAAACAGGAUUAGAUACCCUUGUAGUC
rnacentral:rRNA from 1 species